GUAAUAACAAAGAUAGGUACAAUGAGCAACAUAGAACAAAAUAUAAAGUUGGAUAUUGGAUGGAAAAGAGUAAUUGAUACGAGAACAAUCUCCAAAUACAUUUUUGUUUGAAAAAUAUAUUGUCUAUAUUUCCAUAUUUCAUUAGCACAAUCAUUAUGCCUUUGUCAUUUAGAUUUAACUCUACCUUCACUCUUCUUUUCCUCAUUCAUUACAGUAGUAGCAUCCCCACAAAAGCUCUCUUUUAUCUCCUUCGCCUUUACCUCUUUCGUCACCACCUUCUCUAUUUCCUCAUGCAAAAAAUAAUUGGAUUCAUAUUCCACCACUGCAUCUACAGAAAUAAUUUGGUUCAUUGCAUUUUUAUCCACGCGAUCUUCAUUGUUGUUGCAAACAGCUAAUUCUAUAACUGCCACUGAAUUAUUAUUUUCAGGACUAUCUAAAGUAACAAUCAAACUACUUUCACCCACAAUGUCUUUCUCACCUAAUGAAUUCACAUCAUCCAAAUUAAUGUUCUUUUUAGAACUAUGUUGCUUCGGCAUCACCUGGCUCCCUGAUGAAGAAAUGGGGAGAGAGGGUUCCGGGGGAAGUGGAAAUAAACCAAAGAACCAAUAUGGUUGCCAAUGAUAACGUCUAUUUCUUUGUGGAAUAACUCCGAAACACCACAACCUUAAAAAUCUAAAAAGAAAUGUGCAACCAAUAAUUGGUGCGAUAAGACUGUAAGUAACCGUUUCACGCUUGUCUAUAUUUGGAAUGCAAUAAUAUCGAAUUUCUACAGGGAUUAUAAAUGCUAGAAAGCCAUCAAGCAAAAUACACGUACUAGUGAGACAAUACAUUACUAUAUCCUUAAACAUCUUGAGAAGAACUUUCACCAUGCUAAUUAUUUUCUCCAUGUUUGGAUUUGA
rnacentral:lncRNA from 1 species